rnacentral:rRNA from 1 species
GGAUUAGGCAUGCAAGUCGAACGCUUUAUGUAGCAGUACAUGAAGAGUGGCGUAAGGGAGAGGAAUACAUGGUUAGCUACCCUUGGGACUGGGACAGCGGCGGGAAACUGCCGGUAAUACCAGAUGACGUCUUCGGACCAAACGUGUGAACCGGCCCGAGGAGGCGACCAUGUCCUAUCAGCUUGUUGGCGGGGUAACGGCCCACCAAGGCAAAGACGGGUAUGGGGCGUGAGAGCGUGCCCCCACUCACUGGGACUGAGACACUGCCCAGACACCUACGGGUGGCUGCAGUCGAGAAUCUUCGGCAAUGGGCGCAAGCCUGACCGAGCGACGCCGCGUGCGGGAUGAAGGCCUUCGGGUUGUAAACCGCUGUCAGUGGGGAGCAAAUGCAUCAGGGUUCUCCCUGGUGUUUGAGCGAUCCGCAGAGGAAGCACAGGCUAAUUCCGUGCCAGCAGCCGCGGUAAUACGGAAUGUGCAAACGUUAUUCGGAAUCACUGGGCUUAAAGAGUCCGUAGGCGGCUUGUUAGGUGAGGUGUGAAAUCCCCCGGCUCAACCGAGGAAUUGCGCUUCAAACCGGCGAGCUUGAGGAAGGUAGAGGUGGGCGGAACUGAUGGUGGAGCGGUGAAAUGCGUUGAUAUCAUCAGGAACACCGGAGGCGAAGGCGGCCCACUGGGUCUUUUCUGACGCUGAGGGACGAAAGCUAGGGUAGCGAACGGGAUUAGAUACCCCGGUAGUCCUAGCCUUAAACGAUGAGCACUAGACCGAAGAACUUCCACAGUUUUUUGGUCGUAGCGAAAGUGUUAAGUGCUCCGCCUGGGGAGUAUGGUCGCAAGGC